GUGCUCGCUUUGGCAGCACAUAUACUAAAACUGGAACAAUACAGAGAAGAUUAGUAUGCCCCCCCUGCACCCCAAAGUAGAGAGAGUAAAAAGGAAAAU
rnacentral:snRNA from 1 species